rnacentral:rRNA from 1 species
GACGAACGCUGGCGGCGUGCUUAACACAUGCAAGUCGAACGGAAAGGCCCUGCUUUUGUGGGGUGCUCGAGUGGCGAACGGGUGAGUAACACGUGAGUAACCUGCCCUUGACUUUGGGAUAACUUCAGGAAACUGGGGCUAAUACCGGAUAGGAGCUCCUGCUGCAUGGUGGGGGUUGGAAAGUUUCGUCGGUUGGGGAUGGACUCGCGCCUUAUCAGCUUGUUGGUGGGGUAGUGGCUUACCACGGCUUUGACGGGUAGCCGGCCUGGGAGGGUGACCGGCCACAUUGGGACUGAGAUACGGCCCAGACUGCUACGGGAGGCAGCGGUGGGGAAUAUUGCACAAUGGGCGGAAGCCUGAUGCAGCAACGCCGCGUGCGGGAUGACGGCCGUCGGGUUGGAAACCGCUUUCGCCUGUGACGAAGCGUGAGUGACGGUAAUGGGUAAAGAAGCACCGGCUAACUACGUG